rnacentral:rRNA from 1 species
AUUGAACGCUGGCGGCAGGCCUAACACAUGCAAGUCGAACGCGUGGCGGACGGGUGAGUAAUGUCUGGGAAACUGCCUGAUGGAGGGGGAUAACUACUGGAAACGGUCGCUAAUACCGCAUACCAUCGGAUGUGCACAAAUGGGAUUAGCUUGUUGGUGGGGUAACGGCUCACCAAGGCGACGCUCCCUAGCUGGUCUGAGAGGAUGACCCGCCACACUGGAACUGAGACACGUUCCAGACUCCUACGGGAGGCAGCAGUGGGAAAUAUUGCACAAUGGGCGCAAGCCUGAUGCAGCCAUGCCGCGUGUAUGAAGAAGGCCUUAGGGUUGUAAAGUACUUGCAGCGGGGAGGCGUUACCCGCAGAAGAAGCACCGGCUAACUCCGUGCCAGCAGCCGCGGUAAUAC